CGAAUGCUGACAUAAGUAACGAUAAAGCGGGUGAAAAGCCCGCUCGCCGGAAGACCAAGGGUUCCUGUCCAACGUUAAUCGGGGCAGGGUGAGUCGACCCCUAAGGCGAGGCCGAAAGGCGUAGUCGAUGGGAAACAGGUUAAUAUUCCUGUACUUGGUGUUACUGCGAAGGGGGGACGGAGAAGGCUAUGUUGGCCGGGCGACGGUUGUCCCGGUUUAAGCGUGUAGGCUGGUUUUCCAGGCAAAUCCGGAAAAUCAAGGCUGAGGCGUGAUGACGAGGCACUACGGUGCUGAAGCAACAAAUGCCCUGCUUCCAGGAAAAGCCUCUAAGCAUCAGGUAACAUCAAAUCGUACCCCAAACCGACACAGGUGGUCAGGUAGAGAAUACCAAGGCGCUUGAGAGAACUCGGGUGAAGGAACUAGGCAAAAUGGUGCCGUAACUUCGGGAGAAGGCACGCUGAUAUGUAGGUGAGGUCCCUCGCGGAUG
rnacentral:rRNA from 1 species